AUGGAAUUUUUAUUUUUAUUUUUUCAAGAAAAAGAGCUCCAUCGGUCACUGAUCAAAAACAGCCGACUCCGGCCGUGCCACAACCUCUACCUAGACCGGAUCCGCACCACCACGCAUCACAGACUCCGACCGCCAGCGAUUCUCCUUUCGGUAUCUCCCUCCAGCGUCGCUCAACACCGGAAGCCUCGACAUCACGCCAUCGGUCAUCUCCAUGCCCUCCGAUUCAGACCGACGAAAGCUACCACCACCGUCAAUCCUCCCUCUGCGUAA